CCUGUGGAUGGAAAUGCCGGUCUGAGACAGCCCGGCUCCCGCUGCUGACCUGGGAGGGGCAGGCCGACCCCCGGAAGCCCCGAGUGGGCAGGGUGAGGCAGCCGGAAGCUUCUGGAGCCCAGGAGGUCCGGCACACCCUGCGGGACAGGACUUGUCUCCCCACCUUCUGAGCCCCCAAGGAACCCAGCCAGGGUGGGACAGGCGACGGGGACGCGGGUGACACCCACCUUCAUUUCAGCCUCCAGCUGGAGGAGGUCGAGCGGGAACUGCCCUGUAGGAGAGAUGGGGCGCCAAGGGGUGCAGCAGCAGGACCGGACAGUAAGGCUGGUUCACACCCGUGGCCUCACUGGUGGGGACACAGGAAGACGUGUGUCACCUCGUGAUGGGAGUUCCAGGACGCGUCUGGCGGCUCGGACGGUUCCCCGUGACGCCCGCCUGCCUCUGGCGGCCACAGGCGAGGGCCCGUGUGGUGAAGACAGGGUCCCCGUGUUGCUGCCAGGGCCCCAGGGCCCCAGGGCCCCAGGGCCAGGUCGGGAACUCCGUCUCCUGCCUGAGCUGUUCUUUGUGAGCUGGUGCCGUCACUUCCUGAGAGCCGGCCAUACCCCCACGAGGACGGAUCUGUGUCGUCCUUCUCCUGUCGGUUGCUGCUCUUCACGUCUUGAAGCUAUGUUGUUAGAGGCACAGGAUUUGGAAUUGCUGUAUUUUUCUGGGUCCGGUAAUUUUGGUGCCAUCCUCGCCGGGCAUGCUUAGUUGCGUGGUCCUGGCCCGUCGUUGGCUCCACCCCCGGAAGCGGCGAGGUAUGUCCCGCUUCGACCACGCUGAACGAGGGCAGCGGUGCGCUCCUGGGGGUCUCCCCUCCAGCAUCGCCUCCUUCUCGAAGGGCCCUUGCCAUCUGUCCCGUCCCAUCAGGGCGGGUCCUCCGACGGCCUCGCUCUGAAGGGGGUUUCCGCCGACGCACACAGGCCAUCUUUACGUCGUCCUGAGGCCUCUUCUCUGGCGUCUGUCUUCCGUGCGGAGGAGUGAGGUCCUGUUGGUCGGUGGAGCGAAGGGCUCCUUCGGCCUCAGAAAACCCUCCGCCGUGACGCCUCCAGCAGUGGAAGAAUCUGGCAGAGUCGUCCCACCGUCCGUCCGUCCGUCCCUCGGAAGGAACCUGCGAGGCGCUAAGACUUCAGCCCCAGGGCAAGCGGGCCAAGGGAGGACUCCACGCAGCCGGCAGGGGCCCCGCUCCACCCUUCAGCCCCGCUGUCCUCGAAGCCCUGGGCCCUGAGGCUUUGGGCCAACUAGGGACCAAACCGCCACAGAUGCCGCCGGGCCCCAUACGCCUGGAAGGGGUGUCCUUCCUCCAGGAGGGCACGGGUAACCACAGAGGACAGUGCCGGGGACCCACCCCAGCCCGGGGCCGCUUGGAGCACACUCACCUGGUGGUCCUGGUGGGCCCACUUCUCCUUUGUCACCCUUCGGUCCAGGAGGCCCCUGGUACCCUGGAGGGACAGAGACCCAGGAGUGCCCAUCAUCGAGCUGUGACAGGGCCCUUGGGCCAUGCCCCUGUGCCCCGCUCACCCCCAGCCCUUGUGAGUGCUGCGUGCACUAGCCUGGACGGGGGAGGAGCACCACACGAGUUUGGGAGCCUUCAGAGCAAGAGCUUUUGUUGAGCAGAAGCACUCGGGGGUCCCACCCAAGGGGCUGCCCCUGGAGGCCACACCACUCCCGCGGGGCGGGCGCGGGCUGACAGAGCAGGCCCGGGCAGGGGGCAGAUCUAAAUUCCGCACGCGAGUGGGCGUCUACUCAGUGUCCGGGGCUGUCCCCCGCGAGGCUGCCAGGACGGCCGUGCUGGGACGACCCGGGAGGUCCCGCGAGAGGCCCGUGAUCACUCUGGAGCAGGGGACAUGGGCCAACGAGGCAUUCCUGCUUCCCCUGGAGCCCAGGCUCACAGGAGGAAGUCCUGCGGCAUCCAGCAUCCCCAAGAGAAGCCACCGCCCCAGCCACCGCGAGGCCCCAGGGGCCCUCACCUGGCAAUCCUGGAGGUCCAGGGCGGCCAGACUCCAUGAAGGCCUGCAAAGAAGCUGGCCAGACCACAUGGCUCGAGGUUCAGGCUCCCAGAUGCAGAGAACCCUCACUUCCCCAGGUGGGGUUUGUUUUCUAAUGGAGUACUGGCCAGCCCCCUGCCAGAAAUUGGGGUGUCCCCUCCCUGGGAGAGGCUGACCCCUCCAGGGGGUGGCUGGUGGAUAGGGCCUGUGAGGAGGGGAGUGGGGGUACUCACGUUGCUGUCAUAGACGGGAGUCCCGGGAGGGCCUGGGGGUCCUGGAGGCCCCGGGGGACCGGGUGGGCCCUGCAUGGGGAAGACAGAACACGAGGUCAGUCACGUUCACAGCCAGGCCGUGGAUGUGACCAGGGCAGCAGAUGUGAGGGGGAAUAUUUCACUAAAUAUCUCACUAAAAUCAGAAAACUGAACGUGUGUGACAGCAUAUAAUCAGGAAGCAUCCAGUCUGGUUGUGGCUGUGGGGCCCCCAAGCACAGCUGCCCCUUUCAGAACGUGCCUGGGGGACGUGGAGAGGGCGACAGGACUGGCGGGGAGCACGGAGACUAACGCAGAGUCUGGGAGCUCAUCUGUGUAUUUCCACGUUCAAGGCAGAGCCCCAGGAGGCCCAGAGGCCAGCAGGCUGAGCCCAUGUGUGAACUUUCAUCUACUUCUUCACAGAAAGAGAAGAGACAGCCACCCAGGCGGCGUGCAAAGCACUCAUUCUGGCAGUGACCUGCUUACUGGACAAAGCACCAGCCUGUGUAACUCCCGCUGCGUCAGGAGUGAGACCAGGGCCAGUGAGGUCGUGCAAACCUCAGGACCCGGCCCCGCCUGCCCUGCGGUCGCCUCCUUGCAGUGCCCCACUGAGGCCAAGGACAGAGGGACUGGAGGCAGCACAGAGGUGGGGUGUCGGGCCCCCAGAGGAGCCGCUGGAGGCGGAGCCCUGUCCCAGCAGACUCCACGGGGCACACAUGCGCCCUUAGGUCAGAACUGACUCGCCGUCUGCCCUUAGGUCAGAGGUGCGGAAAGGAUCCCGGCGCCUGUCUUGCUUGUUGAGGCCCGCGACCCGUCUUUGUGUCACUACUUCAGAUCGCCGCGAGAUGUCACCUCCUGCCUCUUGAGUUUUCACGAGGCAGCAGCCACAUUGAGGCCACGGGAAGAAGGAGCCACGAUGAAGAACCAGCAGUGAUGGCAAAAGCAGAAAAGUGGGGACCGUCUGACACGCUGGCCUCGGGACCCCACGCCCCGGCCCGGGCCGUGGGAGCAAAGUCACCGAGUGCACCUGGCAGCUGGCUGGGUGCCCGGCCGCGGGAUCGGGAGCAGGUCCCGUGUCUGGAGGCCCCCUCUUAGGGAGAAACGGAUAAAAACACCCAGGCUACCAACAUAAACCCUGCUCAGAAGCCGGUGAGGCGCUGAGA